UAUGACUAUUUCUUCAGUACGAAAGGACCAAGAAAAUAGGACCUAUACUCUCAGCAAGUCCUCAUCAUCUAUUGAAAUAAUAUUAAAUUCACAGUACCUCAUUAUCCAAAACCAGGAC
rnacentral:rRNA from 1 species